rnacentral:rRNA from 1 species
GACGAACGCUGGCGGCGUGCUUAACACAUGCAAGUCGAACGGAAAGGCCCUGCUUUUGUGGGGUGCUCGAGUGGCGAACGGGUGAGUAACACGUGAGUAACCUGCCCUUGACUUUGGGAUAACUUCAGGAAACUGGGGCUAAUACCGGAUAGGAGCUCCUGCUGCCUGGUGGGGGUUGGAAAGUUUCGGCGGUUGGGGAUGGACUCGCGGCUUAUCAGCUUGUUGGUGGGGUCGUGGCUUACCAAGGCUUUGACGGGUAGCCGGCCUGAGAGGGUGACCGGCCACAUUGGGACUGAGAUACGGCCCAGACUCCUGCGGGAGGCAGCAGUGGGGAAUAUUGCACAAAGGGCGGAAGCCUGAUGCAGCAACGCCGCGUGCGGGAUGACGGCCUUCGGGUUGUAAACCGCUUUCGCCUGUGACGAAGCGUGAGUGACGGUAAUGGGUAAAGAAGCACCGGCUAACUACGUG